UUAUUUGUUAUGAAUUAGAAUUUAAUAUGUACUAUCUUACAUCAUUGCUAUAAGCAUAAUGUGAAAUAUAUAUGAAAGUAAUUUUAAAUUUUCAGUAAAGUAUUAUUUUUAUAAUUAUUCUUAUCAUUUAAUUCUUGAUUUACAUUCAAGAGGGCUCAUCAGUAAUAUACUAAAAGAACCUAUACAACUUAUUUGUAAGGGUAUGUAUAGUCUAAAUUAUACUGUGUAUACCUUUAAAUAGCAUUCCUUCUUGUAUUUUGCAGUUUUCCACCUCUCUAGUUCUCUUGGCCAUGAACCUGCCUAUUCCAACCCCUUCCCCAAAAUUUCUACUUAUUUUUCUCAUAUCUACUAUAGCACACUCCUAGUUGUAUUUAUAUGUACUAGUUAUUAUAUAGACAGAAUUAAUAUAUACAUUAAAUUUAUCCUACCACAAUUUUUAAAAUUGAUUCAUUAUUAAUGAAAUGUUAUGAUCUGUUUUCCCAAAAGGUAUGUACUCAGGAAAAGUUAGAAAUCCUGUGGAUUACAAAGGUAACUAGGUUUCCUCAAGAGGUGAUGAAUUCCUCUUCUGUAGAAGUCUUCAAACAGAGACCGAAUGACAAUUUGUCAGGUUUCUCAAGAUUGAUGCAGCUUGGUUUAAACCCAUGGCAUAUAGACAUGAAGAAAAUAAAUGGGUGGAAGUUACUUAAAGUCUCUUGACAUUUAUAUGAGGUAUUGUCAGCAUCAGAGAAGAAUAACUAGCCAAUUAAUUAUCCUUCUGUUUACAUCUUAAUAGUUAAAUUUAACCAAUGACUAUGCUUCCGUCAUAGCUAUUUUGCUAUUGCUGCAUUAGAUUAAGUGAAUUGGGGAAUGAGAGUCUUGUGAUUUUCAACUCUUAUUUAUUAAUGGAUAAUUGCAUUGAAACAAUUAACCUUCAAAAAUCACCUAACCAGAGGUGAAUUUACUGUUUUUCUAAUGAUGUUUUUCUUGUUUCCUGAAUAGUAACUUUACAUUUCUGUGCUGGCUAGAUGAUUAUGAAAUUCACAUUAAUAUACUAAUAUGUAUAUCAUUUCUUUUGGUGGCACUUAUAGACUAAUGAAAAUAUCUCUUGAGCAUCCUCUCAUAGAAAAUAAAUUUCAUUUUAUUUAAUAUUUUUCUUGCUUG
rnacentral:lncRNA from 1 species